rnacentral:lncRNA from 1 species
GUUGGUUAAACACGUUGGAAAGGGUCAAUUGAAACAGCGAAAAAGAAACAAAGGAGAUCUUGAACCCUAUAUUAAACACAUGAGACGGAAACAUGAUUGAUUGAUUAAUCAUGAUCAUGAUUGGUUGAUUGAUCAUGAUCAUGAUUUGUUGAUUGAUCAUUAUUGAUUGAUCAUGAUUGGUUGGUUGGUUGGUUGGUUGGUUGCAAACACACAUAAAAUUCUUCAAGUCGUGCCCCAAAUCACAUAUGUACAUGACCUUGACCUUUGACCUUGUGACCUUUGUCAAGGUCAUUGCUUCACAAUGUCAUUGCAAAAGACCCUAUGGGUCAAGGACCUUUUGUUUAAGAGUUUUGCCUAAUAAUGGCUUUUUAUAAACCAUCAAUGGGGGUUAUGUCCCUUACAUAAUGGUAAAACCAAUAC